rnacentral:rRNA from 1 species
UCAAAUAUAUUAAAGUUUAUGAUGGAUACCUAGGCAUUUAGAGUCGAUGAAGGGCGUGGAUACCUACGAAAUGCUUCGGUUAGUUGGAAACAAACUUUGAUCCGAAGAUUCCCGAAUAGGAAAACCUAUAUAACUACUUAGUAAAUUCAUAAUUAAGUAAGAGACAACCUGCUGAAUUGAAACAUCUUAGUAAGCAGAGGAAAAGAAAGCAAACGCGAUUUCCUUAGUAGCGGCGAGCGAAACGGAAAUAGUCUAAUCAUUAAAAAAAAACUAUUAAACGAAGCAGCUGAAUCCUGCACCAUAGAUGGUGAAAGUCCAGUAGUUUAAAAUAGAAAAAAUGAUUAUAAAGUAGCAUGGAACACGUGAAAUUCCGUGUGAAUAUACGAGGACCACCUCGUAAGACUAAAUACUCCUAAAUGACCGAUAGUGAAACAGUACCGUGAGGGAAAGGUGAAAAAGAACCCCUGUAGGGGAGUGAAAAAGAACAUGAAAUCGUAAACUGACAAUCAGUGGGAGCUAAAGUGACCGCGUGCCUGUUGAAGAAUGAGCCGGCGACUUAUAGGUAGUGGCUUGGUUAAAAUAACUUUUUGGAGCCAAAGCGAAAGCAAGUCUGAUAAGGGCGUAUGUCACUAUUUAUAGACCCGAACCCGAGUGAUCUAACCAUGGCCAGGAUGAAUCUUGGGUAACACCAAGUGGAAGACCGAACCGACUGAUGUUGAAAAAUCAGCGGAUGAGCUGUGGUUAGGGGUGAAAUUCCAGUCGAACUCGGAGCUAGCUGGAUCUCCUCGAAAUGUGUUGAGGCGCAGCGGUUGAUGAUGGGCUAUUUAGGGGUAAAGCACUGUUUCGGUGCGGGCUGCGAAAGCGGUACCAAAUCGUGGCAAACUAAGAAUACUAAAUAUGCUUUCCAUCAACCAGUAAGACAGUGGGGGAUAAGCUUCAUUGUCAAAAGGGAAACAGCCCAGAUCACCAGUUAAGGCCCCAAAGUGAUGGCUAAGUGAUAAAGGAAGUAAAAAGGCAAAGACAACCAGAAGGUUUGCUUAGAAGCAGCCAUCCUUGAAAGAGUGCGUAAUAGCUCACUGGUAGAGCCUUUUUGCGCCGAAAAUGAACGGGGCUAAGUCAUCCGCCGAAACUGUGGGUACAGUUUUAACUGUUACGGUAGAGGAGCGUUCCGUUAUAGGGUGAAGUUAAGAUGUGAAUUUUAAUGGACGAAACGGAAGUGAGAAUGUCGGCUUGAGUAACGAAAACAUUGGUGAGAAUCCAAUGCCCCGAAAACCUAAGGGUUCCUUCACAAGGUUCGUCCAUGGAGGGUUAGUCAGGACCUAAGGCGAGAUCGAAAGGUGUAGUCGAUGGAAAACAGGUUAAUAUUCCUGUACUUGAUUUAAUUUGAUAAAGAGGGACGAAGAAGGCGGUAACUAGCUAGAUAUUGGUAUUCUAGUAGAAGUAUUGGAUUCUUAAAAGAAUGAAAAAAAACUUUCUUUAGAAAACAUGCGAUCUAACUGGUACUCUAUUCUAUAGAGUUCUGGUUUAGUUUUAGUCAUACUUCCAAGAAAAGCUUUUGUUAUCGUUAAAUUAAAUCAACCUGUACCCUAAACUGACACAAGUAGGUAGGUAGAGAAUACUAAGGGGCGCGAGAUAACUCUCUCUAAGGAACUCGGCAAAAUGGCCCCGUAACUUCGGGAGAAGGGGUGCCUACAUUAUGUAGGCCGCAGUGACCAGGCCCAGGCGACUGUUUAUCAAAAACACAGGUCUCCGCAAAGUCGUAAGACAAUGUAUGGGGGCUGACGUCUGCCCAGUGCCGGAAGGUAAAAGAAGUUGGUUAUUCUUCGGAAAAAGCUGACGACUGAAGCCCCGGUGAACGGCGGCUGUAACUCUGACAGUCCUAAGGUAGCGAAAUUCCUUGUCGAGUAAGUUUCGACCCGCACGAAAGACGUAACGAUCUGGGCACUGUCUCGGAGAGAGACUCGGUGAAAUAGAAAUGUCUGUGAAGAUGCGGACUACUUAUACCAGGACAGAAAGACCCUAUGAAGCUUGACUGUAAUUUGGAAUUGGGUUCGGGCUUUUUUUGCGCAGUCUAGGUGGGAGGCGUUGAUAUUAAGUUUUCGGACUUAAUGGAGCCAUCAGUGAGAGACCACUCUAAAAGAGCUAGAAUUCUAAUAGGACUCCUUGAAUCAGGAUCCUUGACAGUUUCAGAUGGACAGUUUGACUGGGGCGGUGACCUUGAUUAUUGGGGUGUUUAUCAAGUGAUUGAUAAAUUUAACCGAGCUAUAUGCUGGGACGUCUGUACUUUGUAUUUUAAAAUAUUCACAUUAUUCCGUUAUCUAUUUUAAAAUAUAAAAGUUGAAGAUUUAACUUUACGAGUAUUAGACCGUAAAAAUAAGUUAAUGCAGAUAAUCAGCAGGGAAGUCCUCUACUUAUUGUAUGACCCCUCAACGACUACACGCUUGGCUCUUAUUUAAUAAGAUGAUGAUAUAGUCUGAACUUUAUGGCGACAUAAAGUUGAGUUGAAAACUCAACGUUAAUAAAGAAAAAAUGAUUUUAACUAAUAUACAAAGAGAAAUUAUUAUAGGAUGUACUUUGGGUGAUUUACACAUAGAACAAAGUCCUAAUGGACAAAAAGCAAGAUUAGUAUUUGAGCAUAGUAUUAAACAAACAGAUUAUGUUUUACAUUUAUAUGAAAUUUUUAAAGAUUGGGUUCCAGGAGAAGUGAAAACACGAGAAAGAAAAAAUGGAACUAAGUUGAUUGGAUUUAAAACAAAAUAUGAUGGAAUAUUUAGAUUUUAUAGACAACAGUUUUAUGAUAUAAAUGGAAAAAAGAUAGUUUCGAAAAUACUUAAUAAACUCUUAACUGCUCGGUCUAUAGCUUAUUGGUAUAUGGAUGACGGAUCAUUAAAAUCAAAACAGUCUAAAGGUGUAAUUUUAAAUACACAUAAUUUUUCUAAAAAAGAAAUUGAGGCUUUAUGUUUUAUUUUAGAUGAUAAAUUUCAAUUACAGUGUAAACCUAGAAAACAAAAACAUCUUGUAAAUAAUGAAACACGUAUUUAUUAUCAGAUUUAUAUAUCCGGUUAUAGUUAUGAUAUACUAAGAGAAUUAAUAUUUAAUUAUUUAUUACCUGAAAUGUAUUAUAAAUUUCCUAAACCGCGAAGUAAAAAAAAUUAACGAACACAAUUGCCCAAAAGGUAACGGAGGUGUGCAAAGGUUCCCUCAAGCUGGACGGAAAUCAGCUGUAGAGUGCAAAGGUAUAAGGGAGCUUGACUGCAAGACCAACAAGUCGAGCAGAGGCGAAAGCCGGCCUUAGUGAUCCGACGGUUCCGAGUGGAAGGGCCGUCGCUCAACGGAUAAAAGUUACUCUAGGGAUAACAGGCUGAUCUCCCCCAAGAGUUCACAUCGACGGGGAGGUUUGGCACCUCGAUGUCGUUUCAUCGCAACCUGGGGCUGGAGUAGGUCCCAAGGGUUGGGCUGUUCGCCCAUAAAAGCGGUACGUGAGAUGGGUUCAGAACGUCGCGAGACAGUUCGGUCCAUAUCCGGUAUAAGCGUAAGAGCAUUGAGAGGAUCUCAACAUUGUACGAGAGGACCCGAAGGGACGUACCGAUGGUGUACCAGUUCUUAUGCCAAUAGGAAACGCUGGGUAGCUAUGUACGGAGUGGAUAAUCGCUGAAAGCAUUUAAGUGAGAAGCCCACCUCAAGAUGAAUGCUCUCUAUUAGAUCGCGGCAAGACAAGCCGAUAGAUUGGCAUCAAGUGUAAGAUUAGUAAUAAUUUCAGCUGAGAUGUACAAAGGAUCGAUCGAUUUUGACCUU